rnacentral:rRNA from 1 species
UACAGAGGGGGCUAGCGUUAUUCGGAAUUAUUGGGUCGUAAAGGGCGCGUAGGCGGCCAUGCGUGUCUUCCGUGAAAUCCCUCGGCUUAACUGAGGACGUGCGGAAGAAACUGCAAGGCUCGGAGUCCGGGAGAGGGGGGUGGAAUUCCCGGUGUAGCGGAUGAAAUGCGUAGAUAUUGGGAAGAACACCUGAGGCGAAGGCGGGUUGCUGGGCCGACACUGACGCUGAGGCGACGAAAGCCAGGG